rnacentral:rRNA from 1 species
CACGUAGGGUGCGAGCGUUGUCCGGAAUUAUUGGGCGUAAAGAGCUCGUAGGCGGUGUGUCGCGUCGGCCGUGAAAACCUGUGGCUUAACUAUGGGCUUGCGGUCGAUACGGGCAUCACUGGAGUUCGGCAGGGGAGACUGGAAUUCCUGGUGUAGCGGUGAAAUGCGCAGAUAUCAGGAGGGAACACCCGGUGGGCGAAGGCGGGUCUCUGGGCCGAUACUG